CCUGGACAACAACAGGGGGCACAUUAUGAACA
rnacentral:scRNA from 1 species